rnacentral:lncRNA from 1 species
CUAGGUUAUAUAGUUUGAGAGGAGAAUUGGUAGGAAUUAGAAGGAAUUUUUUAUGAAAGCCUUAGGGGAAGUGUUUAGUUAUUUUUUGGAGCAGGGACUAAAGGAAUUAUCCAGAAGGUAGUGGAAAAACAGGCACUUAUUCCUCUAGGUGUUUAUAUGAGGGUAGAGGGCUGAAAGAAAAAUAUUUACAGGCAUGUUGAUUGAUCUGGGAGCCAGGUGGAGAGUAUUAUUAAGGAUAGACUGUUUUUGAUAAAUGGUAACCAUCCUCACGAUGAUAAAAACAUGAGAAAGAUAGGAGACCAAACGUCUUUCCUUUUUAUGGGACCAAUAAAUAUUACCUUAUAUUACAAUGAAUGAAAUCAUUCAAAGAGAGGAUUCCAAAGACAUAUGCAAAUACAUUUCCAAAAAUAAAGUGGCCGAGUGUAGAAGUAAGAACUUUUUUUUCUUAUGUACUUUUUUACUUAUUAAAACAGAAUCAGGUGGAGGAGGAACACCCUGACAUUCAUCUCCCGGGGAAUGGUCUCUCUACCCUGCAUCCACAUGGUGAAGCACUAUAGAAGAUUCUCCCCAUGGGUCAGAUUCUCUCCAGUGCCAGACUCCUCAAAGAAACGAUACCACCCAAAUCAUCUUGCAAACCACAUGGAAAAUUGUAUGGCAUGUCUGGCAAUCUGUAUGAAGGGAAAUGGAAAUCUACAGGGAAUAAAAUUGAGAAAACUCAGUAACAAAUUGCCAUCAUGCACAUGUAAUAUUCUGCUAUGUUUCUAAUAACCUCUAGGCCAUAAUUUUCUAAUGGAAUGAAAUAACUCUGUCAGAGGCAAAAAUCAAUACUUUCAAAGUACACACUAAUGUUCUGUGAAAUUAGAAAUUGACCUUUUUUCCUUUUAAAGAAUAAAUACAAGUGGGUUUAGAUAUCUGGAGUAUAU